UUCAUUCAUUUUCCAAAGUGCUUGAUCCUCACUAGGGUCGCGGGGGUAGUAGGGCCGAUCCCAGUUGUCUUCGGGCAGUAGGCGGGGGACAACUGGUUGCCAGCCAAUGGCAGGGCACACAAAAACGAACAACCAUUCGUGCCCACACUCUAGGGACAGUUUUGAGUGUUCCAUCAGAGCUGCCAAGCAUAUUUUUGGAAUGUGGGAGGAAAUCGGAGGGCAUGGAGAAAGCCCACGCAAGCACGGGGAGAACAUGCAAACUCUACACAGGAAGGCCGGAGCUGCAGGGUUCGUACGGGUCCUUAAAGUUCAUAAAAAUCAGUCAAAGAAGAAGUUGUAAAAUUAUGUUCUGAAUUGUCCAUAAUUUUGUUGGCAGUGAAUGGAUGUUUUGGUUGCCGGCCCGGCAAACAAUUACAGUAUUUUCUGGAAAAAUCUAUUCAUCGAAUUUAUCGAUCUCAACAAGUGACAGACAAAUAAAUAUUGGCGUCGCUACAAAUAUUCCGAGACUAUGCUAUUUUCAAGGGCCAUGGCUGGAGAAGCCGCAGUUCCGUGUUUGGGUCAGAAAAAUUGCUGGCGAUUAUCUUCCGAGCCGCUUGAUCCUCACUAGGGUCGCGGGGGGUGCUGGAGCCUAUCCCAGCUGUCUUCGGGCAGUAUGCGGGGGACACCCUGAAUCGGUUGCCAGCCAAUCACAGGGCACACAGAAACGAAAAACCAUUCGCACACACACUCACACCUAGGGACAAUUUAGAGUGUUCAAUCAGCCUGCCACGCAUGUUUUUGGAAUGUGGGAGGAAACCGGAGCACCCGGAGAAAAUCCACGCAGGCCCGGGGAGAACAUGCAAACUCCACACAGGGAGGCCGGAGCUGGAAUUGAAACCAGUACCUCUGCACUGUGAAGUCAACGUGCUAACCACUCGACUACCGGGCCACCUUCAUCAUAAAAAUAAUAAAUAUAAAAUGUGUGGCGACAACUGACGCUCUGGUCGGAUUGAAGAAAAAAAAAACACGGGACGCGCCCGAUGCAGAGGCAAAGUGAGUCCGAGAAGGCUGCUUCAUCUCGGACAAAAAAAGUAAAGCCAACGUACGUCAGCGUUAGUAUCCCCGGAGGAGAAACCCGCCCCGGAGGUAAAAUGCGUGGCGACAACGGAUUAAAAAAAAACCCCCCACGCAGAGGCAAAGUGUGUCCGCGAAGGCGGCUACGUCUCAGAAGAAAAAAGCAGGGCCUUUGGACAGCUAACAUCAGCAUUACCACCGCCGAAGUAGCCCACUGCGUAGGCAAAAUAGGCGACAGCGGACGCUCGGGUCGGAUAAAUAAAAAAAAAUAAAAGAAAAAA